GUAAUUCCGGUGAAGAUGCCGGAUACCUGCGACAGGACGGAAAGACCCCAUGGAGCUUUACUGUAGCUUGACAUUGGGUCUUGGUACUACAUGUACAGGAUAGGUGGGAGGCUUUGAAACCAGGACGCCAGUUUUGGCGGAGCCAUCCUUGGGAUACCACCCUUGUAGUACUGGGACUCUAACCAUAGGCCAUGAAUCUGGUAUUGGGACACUGUCAGGUGGGCAGGUUGACUGGGGCGGUCGCCUCCCAAAAGGUAACGGAGGCGCUCAAAGGAUCUCUCAGUACGGUCGGAAGUCGAACGUAGAGUGUCAAGGCAAAAGAGAGCUUGAUUGCAAGACAUCCAGGUCGAGCACGCAUGCAAAUCGGACUUAGUGAAC
rnacentral:rRNA from 1 species